GACGAACGCUGGCGGCGUGCUUAACACAUGCAAGUCGAACGAUCCCGGGCUUCGGCCCAAUGGGAGAGUGGCGAACGGGUGCGUAACACGUGAGAAACCUGCCCCGGAGAUCGGGAUAACCCAAGGAAACUCGGGCUAAUACCGAAUACCUUCUGACCGCCGCAUGGCGGACUGAAGAAAUGUUCUGGCGCUCUGGGAGGGUCUCGCGGCCUAUCAGCUUGUUGGUGAGGUAAUGGCUCACCAAGGCAUCGACGGGUAGCUGGUCUGAGAGGACGAUCAGCCACACUGGGACUGAGACACGGCCCAGACUCCUACGGGAGGCAGCAGUGGGGAAUCUUGCGCAAUGGGCGAAAGCCUGACGCAGCAACGCCGCGUGAGGGAAGACGGCUCUCGGGUUGUAAACCUCUUUCAGCAGGGACGAAAUUGACGGUACCUGCAGAAGAAGCGCCGGCCAACUACG
rnacentral:rRNA from 1 species